CGCGGAUUGUUGUAGAGGUAAACAUAAUUGGCUCAUGACCAACAGAGAGAGGUUCGAUUCCUUUAUCCGCAU
rnacentral:tRNA from 1 species